GCGGAGCUUCUGCUGGAUCUCGGGAUGGUUAACAAGCUCAGCAAUGCCCCAUUCAAUUGACCAUAAGGUUGUUUCAAUGGCUGCAUCACAAUGAGAUUGCUUGAGUUCAUAGACUUGACCCAUAAAUAAUAAAUAAUUUUUUAUUAAA